CUGAAAGGGGUCUUGAGGUGAAUGAUCCUGUACUCAUCCUCCACCAGCCAAUCAGUCUGUUUAUUAUUUGGCUUUAAAAAGAAACCCCUUCACCAUGAUGGAGCAAAAACUGUUACUUGGCUAUGUCAAGAGAAAGCAAUGCAACAAGUACAAAGCGUGCUGAUUAAUGCACCUUGUCUAUCUCUAUCAGACAGAGAGCUAGAUAUUGAUAGAGACUGCUAUCCUCAUGUGUAACUAC
rnacentral:lncRNA from 1 species